rnacentral:rRNA from 1 species
UACGAAAGGGGCUAGCGUUGUUCGGAAUUACUGGGCGUAAAGAGCACGUAGGCGGCCUGCCAAGUUAGGGGUGAAAGCCCAGAGCUCAACUCUGGAAUUGCCUCUAAAACUGGUAAGCUCGAGGAUGUGAGAGGUGAGUGGAAUUCCGAGUGUAGAGGUGAAAUUCGUAGAUAUUCGGAAGAACACCGGUGGCGAAGGCGACUUACUGGCACAUUUCUGACGCUGAGGUGCGAAAGCGUUGGGAGCAAACAGG